GAGGGUAUAGCUCAGUGGUAGAGUACAACAUUUAGCAUGCACAAGGUCCUGGGUUCAAUCCCCAGUACCUCUA
rnacentral:tRNA from 1 species